GGUGUCUCGCGACGGUCGUUGUGCGUCUCGCCUAACCUUGAUCUAUUAUCCAGACCAGCACAAAACUGUGUUCACAUCAGAGAGCUUGAAGUGCAUAUGACUUCAGAACAGACAUGGAGACACCGGUGAAGGACAACGCUGAGGGACGAGCGUGCUGCAGGAUCGGGACGGGCGACCUGUCACUGCCGAACGCAUGAGGACGUGUUAACCUCCACAGUAUUGCCACCCUCAGUCCAUAAGAGAGGAAUAUUAUGGGUGAUUGGUGGGUGUUGAUGCAACAGUAGCAGGGAGCUGGUUACUUCUGCAAGCUGCCCGCUGGCUCACCGAUUCAACCUUGAUAAAAUGACUGAGGUGAGCAGACCUGUCCGUGGAAGAGGAUUUUCAUAAUCAGCACCUGCAGCCCUGAAGAUUGUACCUUUGGAGGAUGCGAUUAUCAUGGACAUACAUUGACGCUUUACAAAACUUAAAAACUUGUUUGAGUUAGCACAUGUCUGACCCGAAGUACUCUGUGGGAGUUUAGUCAUGAAAAUUUUGG